AGCGGCAGGCUUAAUACAUGCAAGUCGAGGGGCAUCAAGGUACACGAAAGUGUAUUGUUGGCGACCGGCGGACGGGUGAGUAAUAGGUAGGUAACCUACCUCAUACUGAGGCAUAGCUGGGAGAAAUUCCAGAUAAUUCCUCAUGAGGUUAUAUGACACAUGUGAUAUAAUCAAAGGUAUCGCAAGGUAUGGUAUGAGAUGGGCUUACUGACCAUUAGCUAGUUGGUGAGAUAAGAGCUCACCAAGGCGAAGAUGGUUAGGGGUUUUGAGAGAGAGAUCCCCCACAUUGGAACUGAGAUACGGUCCAGACUCCUACGGGAGGCAGCAGUAGGGAAUAUUGGGCAAUGGGCGGAAGCCUGACCCAGCCAUGCCGCGUGAAGGAAGACGGCCUUAUGGGUUGUAAACUUCUUUACUAUGCGACUAACUAGAUUUACGAGAUAAUUCUAUAGAAUGUAGCAUAGCAAAAAGCACCGGCUAACUCCGUG
rnacentral:rRNA from 1 species